UCUUAGGCUGUUGUCCUGGUAAACUUGGGAGAAAGGAUUAGUGCUGUUUUUCAGAAUCCUGUUUACAUAAUGGUAAUCUGCGGAUUUGCAUUUGUUUCAACCUAUUAGCCUUGGAGGAGGGCAAGGGGCCAGAGCUGCCCUUUGCACCAUUUAGCUGGCCCUGGAGCAGCCAUGGUGGCAGGUUUAAACAAUCUUAUUAUGAAACACCGACAGCUUCGGCUAAUACAACCCUCUCCCGCCCAGCUCUCUCUUCAUUUGGAAAGAACCGGAAGUUGCAAUAGUAUCUCUUGGAGAGAAGCAGGUUGAGAAACCAGGAGGUGGAGACUGGGUAUGUGGAGGGCAAGAAUCAAGACAACCAAGAGUCGGCAGGCACUCCUUGUACCUGGGCGUUCCUGUGCCAAGAGGCCAGAAGCACGGGAAGAGAUCCGUGGCCCAGACCCCCAACAUACCUGAGGGUGAAUAGUGCCUGGGAAGGCACCCCAGAGUGUGCACCAGGUCCCGCUGAAGUCCAGGUGCCGGGAGAUCUUCCUUCCAGUGGAGUUGAGGGGCUUCCCUGGGAGUCCUGGUCCCCUUGCCGGAGGUGGCUGAGAACUGAGUAAGAAUGAGAGGAUGAACCCAUUUGGGUGAUUUUUGUCACACCUUCAAGGCACUUGUUUUCUCAGAGGCCACCGAGACUCCCCUGCUCUUUAAAAACUAGAACUUUCAGCGAAGGCCUCUGUCGGAAGUCUGCUGGGUGAGGACGCGUGUGGGUUCCCAGCCACCCAACCGAGUGAACCGGGGCUUGGUUUUUUGAGUUCUUGUUGGAUGGGUGGACAUCGAUCUCUUCGACCACCUCGUGGCCCGUGCAUGAGGAAAACCGAUUCCCAUCCGCCUUGCUCUUGAAUCUCCCACUUGGCUUUUGCAGAGGAACUUGCAGUGUGUGACCAUCUUCGUGGACUCCCCCAGAGAAGCAGAGCUCUCUGUCGGUGUGUUUCAAGCUACCUUUAAAAGGCCAAGGAACUCCUCCUGGUUACAGGCAGGACAUUGAUUCACUUAUUUAAAGAGUUUAGAUAAGGGGGAAAAAAUGUUGAAGACUGUGAGUUCAAUCUCUGCAUCUUCCAGAUGAGAAAAUUAAAGCUCACAGAGAUUGAGCAACUUGCCCUGAUUCACAGAGCUAUGAAUGCAGGCCAAAGAUCAGAAUGUAGAUUUCUUAACAACCUGACCUGUGUGCUUUCACUUAUUUUUGAAUGACACGUUUUGGGGUUUUUUUUUUUUUUUGUAUCCAAGUUCUAGAAUUUUCAAGUGAAAUUUUUUCCUGUGACUUAGUUGGAAAGUCACUUGAUUAUGUGAGAUCUGAUGAAAUUGUUAAAGAGAAACUGUCUGCCCAGAAAAACCAUUCUGAGACUGUCAGAUUUCACAUUUUGUACAUCCUGGUAAUCAGAAGUGUGUAAUUUUUCUCAUAAUGUAACUCAGGCACAUUGAAAAUAGACUUUUAUAUCCAGAAUUAAUCAUUAAAAUUACAAAAAUGUCCUAAACUGGCCAAUCAGCACAUUCCAGUUCCAAGGUUUUGAAACUCCAGUGUGACAUUCAUCAUAAGGACAACAGUCAGUUAAGCUAUGGCUGUUUUGUUUUAGCAGUUUGUACAGAAAAACAUGACUCAUGUAUAGUCAUAUCCAUGAAUAGCACUUUGUUGAUUUUCUACCUAAUGCUUCUAUUAUUUGUUGGAGAAGUUGUUGAAGUCACUAAAAAUAAUAACUAUGCAUUAGUCUAUUUCUCCUUUCAGCUUUAUUAGUUUUUGCUUUAUGAUUUUUGAGGCUCAGUUGUUUGGUUCAUACAUGUUUAGAAUUGCUGUCUUUCUGGUAGAUUAACCAUUUUAGGUAUGUAAUGUGCUUCUUUGUUGCUAGUAAGCUUCUUUGUUCAAAUAAAGUAUACUUCAUGUUAUAUACCAAAGCCAUUCUUUUUAAAAUUAAGACUUAUGUGUAUGAUACUUCACCAUAUAAUUGUUGCAGAUUUUCUAGCAAUUUUUUUUGUUUGCAAAAAGGAGGUACUACCAUUAAAUGAAACAUUUUUUAAUUGUGUCAGUACUACUUAUAAAUCAUUUAUUAUUAAAUUUCUUUGAUGCAAGAUUAGGAUGCAUGGGACACAUGUGAAUAUACAUUAAUACAGUGACUACCGUUAUACUGUAAAAUAUGGCAUUUUUCAUUUACUGUCAAUCUGUUUUGUUAAAAUUAAAAUGAGUUUCUUGCAUACA